rnacentral:tRNA from 2 species
GCCCGGGUGGUGAAAUUGGUAGACACGCAGGACUUAAAAUCCUGUGACCCCAAAAGGUCGUGCGGGUUCAAGUCCCGCCCUGGGUA